rnacentral:tRNA from 1 species
GCGAGAGUGGCGGAAUUGGCAGACGCGCCAGAUUUAGGUUCUGGUGGGCAACCAUUGGGGGUUCGACUCCCCCCUCUCGCACCA